rnacentral:tRNA from 1 species
GCGAGAGUGGUGAAAUUGGUAGACACGCCAGAUUUAGGAUCUGGUGCCGAAAGGUAUGGGGGUUCGAGUCCCUUCUCUCGCA